AAAAUCUAAAAGAUUGGGUUAGCGGCCGAACAAGAAACCCUUGUUUUGAUCCCCAAAACCCCCAGCCUUCCCCAUCUUCUUUCUUCCCUUCCAUUUUCCCUUGCCAUUUUGAAGAACCCACGAGGAGCUCUGAGAGACGUUGCUUAGCCAUGGCGAGCGCUGAUGUAGAGGCUGUCGACUUCGAGCCCGAGGAAGAUGACCUCAUGGACGAGGAUGGAGCUGCCGAAGCCGAUGCCUCCCCACGAGCUCCAUUUCCCAAGCUCAAAUCCGCCAUUACCGGCGGCGCAUCUUCCUCGCUUGCUGGUGCUCCUAAGAAGACCAAGGGUCGUGGAUUUCGAGACGAGUCUGAUCGAAACACCCGCCUUGCUGGGUCGGACUUCGAUUCCCUCAAGUCUGCUGAUGGCCCUGGCCCCCAACGAUCUAUUGAAGGAUGGAUCAUUCUGGUAACUGG
rnacentral:misc_RNA from 1 species